GCUUAACCAACUGAGCCCCCCAGGCGCCCAUCCUCUGGCCUUUUGUACGAGAAGGUCGCCUGGCCCUGCCCUAGAUGCCUGAGGUGCGCUCUCAUGCCCUUGAUGCGGCUUCGUGGUUGCGCAGAGGCCCUUUGUGUCGGGAACUUGUUGGGGGCAGACCAGUCUGUCGGUGUGGCUGUGGACGGAGGAGGGACAGGAGGGCCCCGAGCGUUGGCGUUAGGGAAGCAGACACCGUGAGGGAGGCACUGUCCCAGCAGGAGGGGCCGUGCAGUGUGACGUGCCGUGGGGAGCCCGGGUGGCACGGGGCAGAGGACAAGAGUGGCCGUGGCCGGCAAGAAAGUGAUGCUGGGCUGUUGUCUGCUCUGGGUUUUUUAAAGAUAUUAAAUAUAUGAAUCUUCAGACUGGUUUCCCAUGAGCAUUUUGGUGAUUUGGGGAAGGGCUUGGCUUGGUGAGGAUCGAGUCCUUUCUACCUCUCCUUGGUGCUUGAGAGGGAGGAGUGGGCGGCAUCUGAGGGGAUUCUGCUUUGUUGCCAGAAUCUUCCCCUCCCGGCUUCAGGUCUCGGAAGGACCACCCUCAGAGGCUACCGGCGCACAGUGGAGGGCAGCUCCCCCCCAGAGAUGGCCCUGGAGGGAAAGCAGGCUGAGUGGGAACCUCGCCAGUUGGCAUUUGGGGGCCCAGACAUGUGUCUCUCGGGGCUGCGGUCAGGCUUUGUUGAGUGGCGGCCGUUUCUGUCCUGUCCGAUGGCCCUCGAUGGCCCAUGUGCAGCCGGCGCUUCCGCGGAGAGCGGACUGAGGAACCCGUGUGCCUGUCCCCUCCUGUCCUCAGGGACGGGGGCCACCUGCUUGGGCUUGCGUGCCAAGCAGCCCUGUCCUCUGGCCGAGGAUGCCAGGCCCCUGUGCCUGCCUGCCACGUGUGCCCCGUGUCUGCCACCUGGACCACUCGCCUCUCAGCCUCCUGUCCCCCGGCCGCAUGGAACUCUCGGUUCAGUGUCUUUGGCCUGAGGUCUGGUCUGUCCUGCUUUUGAACUGCUGAGGCGUUUGAUGGGCUGAGAGCGGACUGUUCCCGCAGGGUGAGGCUUUCCCUGCAUGGCAGGCGUCGCAUGGAGUCUUGUUUCCAGGAAGACGCUUGGGGAGCGCGCCUCGGGGCAGGGACCGCUUGCUCACCCGCCGCGAGCACCCGGCCCACAGCGGCUUCUACGUGUGAUCACUCGGUGCCCACAGCGCAGGCACGAAGGGUUCUGCAAAACCAUCAUUAAAAUCUCUUUCCUGAUUCUUUGCUUUCUAGGUGAUUGAAAACUUGGCCUCAAAACAAAAAACUCACUAGUUAUGAUUCAGCGUGUUCGACAGAAGCCAUCCCCAACCCAGCUUAAAUUAUCAAUCUAGAAAAUAACUUUGUUCAAAUCCGCGUGGUGCUUCUUUAGUAAAUCCUGUACAGAUUUUACCAUGGAGAACUUUUUUUUAGUUUUUACCUUUUCUUAAUUACCCUUAUUCCAAAUGGACGAACACUUUCUACAACUGCUGACCAUUGUAAAACACCGUGUACAUAAAUCCCACGGACAGUGACGCCCUGGACUGGAACAUCUCAAAUGCUGCUUAAUCAGACUCAGGUGGACCGCUCGCAUUCCAUGGAAAGCUCCUCCAAGUUAGACAUCCGGUGCCAGACCAGCCGGGAAACCAUGGAAUUAUUAAAAGUACAAACUGACAGUGUGUAUAUUUAAUUUAAAGACUUAUUUAAAGAUUCACGAGCUCUCAACUAGACUUGAGAGCAGUCUGUUUUCUGUAAUGUCUGAUACUAGAAACUAAUUUGCUUCAUAUUUUAGUUGUAUUCAAGAUUUGAAAAUGUAUUUUAUAGACAAGUUCUGUUUUUGAACUUUGUGGAACUAUUCCAAUCAAUUUACCAGUUAUGAUGAGUAUUUACAUUAUGAAUGUAUAAUCCAAACAUUAUUUGUAAAGCCUACAGUAUGUUUUUAUUACUUAACACUUUUUUAUACAGUGUCUCUUGUCUUGACUAUGAUAUUGGAGUCUGAGUUGUCAGCUUGGUCCCUUAAAGUUUCUAGUUACAGACAAAAUCAUACUGUGAUUUUAUUUUUAAUAUGGAUAUGCUAUCAAACUGUGAUACACUUAUAAUUCACUGGUCCUGCAUCAGGAGAUGGAGUGGGGAAAACUGUAUUUAAUACAGUUUGUAUCUGAAUAAUCUGUAUGGUUUAUACAGUUUGUGUUGUUCAGAGAUGUCUAAAGUUUGAUCUUUGUUUUUUUAAAGAUUAAAAAAGCACUUGCCCCACUGUAAAUAUACAGCAUGUAAAAUUUAUAUAGUAUAUAAAUGGCAGCAAAUUAAACAUUUUGUGUCUUA